CAAUUAACAUUUAUGACGUCACUACUAUAUUCCAAACACUGUGCUAAGUUUUCUUUUGGUAUCUCUAGAACUCAGCACAAUGCUUGGCGUUGAGGAGGGAGGCCAUUCCAUGCAGGAGAGAGAGCCAGAAAAAAUUCCCAAGCUGAGAUAUGGAUCAGCAAGGAAGAACCAAGUACUUGGAGGUGUAAAAAGGAGUAGAGGGUACUAUUGAAGUAUAACUACAAAGGCUGAUUCCAUAUUGCAUGAUGAUAGUACUUCCAGUGAUGAAGUUCUCUGGGCAUGGUAGAAAAGACCAAGAAAUUCAAAAGGAAUGAAGCUUGUGAAAAAUGACUACAUUUCUUUGUUGUCUUACUUCAGCCAGGUCACCUCCAACUUGAUUAACUCAAGUCCCAGAGAUACAACUAGCUUCUUUUCUUCACCUCAGCCAGCCAGCAAAAGCCCCUUUGCCCAGUCCAGCAGUUGGCUUGGCUCAAACUGCUUUUCCAAGUAACAUUCCACAUGGAAUUUUCAUUUGACAGAUGAUCCAUCUCUAGCUUUUGUCCUUUGCAUGUUUCUUCCACAAUAUGCAUAUGAUUUUUCAAUACUUUGGAAUUAACGGUAGACAAUAAUCUACUUCAUUGUGGUGAACAUUUUAGAGCUGAUUGCAUGUGAUUUCUACCCCUUCACCAUUCCUCAUCCAGAUUACAGAUAUUCUGAUGUUUUGAAGGAUCCAGGAUCUUAUUGGGAACUCUCUGGGCAAGGGCACAUUACAGCCCAUUCACUUCCCAUCUUGUGUGACUUUUGUCUAUGUCUUUCCAAAAAUCCACUGGAGCAUAAUUCUUUUGUGUAUAACAAGUGUCUAAAAGCACAUUGUAAAACUGGGUCCAUUUUGAUUAAUGCUUUGAGCCUUCCUUAUCUUUGAAUUUUUUCAUUAUAAUCAGCGGUUGUUAUUCAUAUGACACCACAUGAU
rnacentral:lncRNA from 1 species